UUCAUAUUACCGUCUCCAAUUAAUUUAUAUUUUUCCUCUUCUUCCCAGUGUCUGUGCUCACACCGCCACAGCAGUGACAGUAACGGAAAUGAAAAUAGACCCCAGAAGAACCAAGCGAUGCACACACAGUGCUGGGAGAUUUGAGUGGGAGCAGUCUGGAUGGAAUGCCUGAUAAACAAAGCCAGAGUCUAUCACGG
rnacentral:lncRNA from 1 species